rnacentral:rRNA from 1 species
UACGACUACAUAUCAGGCAUAUCAAUAAGCGGAGGAAAAGAAACUAACAAGGAUUCCCUUAGUAACGGCGAGUGAAGGCGGGAAGAGCUCAAAUUUGAAAUCUUCAAGGUUUUACCUUGACGAAUUGUAGUUUAAAGAAGUGUUUUCUGUUGAAGUUUCGGUAAAAGUUCUUUGGAAUAGGACAUCAUAGAGGGUGAGAAUCCCGUAUUUGACCAUUAUUUUCAGCUGUGUGAUACACUUUCAAAGAGUCGGAUUGUUUGGGAAUGCAGUCCAAAAUGGGUGGUAAAUUUCAUCUAAAGCUAAAUAUUGGCGAGAGACCGAUAGCGAACAAGUACCGUGAGGGAAAGAUGAAAAGAACUUUGAAAAGAGAGUUAAACAGUACGUGAAAUUGUCAAAAGGGAAGCGUUUGACACCAGUGUUGUUUUCUCGAAAAUCAAUUAAAAAAAGUUGGAUUUUGUGUUGUAUUGACCUUAACAGCUUGCUUCACUCUUUUCCAGCUUUUUUUAAUGCACUUUUCGUUUAACAAGUCAACAUCAGUUUCUUUUGUUGUAAAAGGGUCAUUGGAAGGUGGCUUUCUCUUCGGAGAAAGUGUUUAUAGCCUUUGAUCUCUGCAAUCGGAGAGACUGAGGUCUGCAGCGUAGAUCCUUCGGGGUUAGAUACAUUUGUGCUAAGCUACAGCUUUUCAUAGACAACUUGUUGACUAUGUUUAGUCUUGUGACUUACCCGCUUAUGCUAUUUUACCUACGCUUAGGAUGUUGAGCGCAUGUCUCUCUCU